rnacentral:rRNA from 1 species
GAUGAACGCUGGCGGCGUGCCUAAUACAUGCAAGUCGAGCGAACAGACGAGGAUCUUGCUCCUCUGACGUUAGCGGCGGACGGGUGAGUAACACGUGGAUAACCUACCUAUAAGACUGGGAUAACUUCGGGAAACCGGAGCUAAUACCGGAUAAUAUAUUGAACCGCAUGGUUCAAUAGUGAAAGACGGUUUUGCUGUCACUUAUAGAUGGAUCCGCGCCGCAUUAGCUAGUUGGUAAGGUAACGGCUUACCAAGGCAACGAUGCGUAGCCGACCUGAGAGGGUGAUCGGCCCCACUGGAACUGAGACGCGGUCCAGACUCCUACGGGAGGCAGCAGUAGGGAAUCUUCCGAAAUGGGCGAAAGCUUGACGGAGCAACGCCGCGUGAGUGAUGAAGGUCUUCGGAUCGUAAAACUCUGUUAUUAGGGAAGAACAAAUGUGUAAGUAACUAUGCACGUCUUGACGGUACCUAAUCAGAAAGCCACGGCUAACUACGUG